UACGGAGGGUGCAAGCGUUGUCCGGAUUUAUUGGGUUUAAAGGGUGCGUAGGCGGCUGAUUAAGUCUGGGGUGAAAGCCCGUUGCUCAACAACGGAACUGCCCUGGAAACUGGUUAGCUUGAGUACAGACGAGGGUGGCGGAAUGGAUACUGUAGCGGUGAAAUGCAUAGAUAGUAUCCAGAACCCCCGAUUGCGAAGCAGCUGCCUAGACUGUAACUGACGCUGAGGCACGAAAGCGUGGGGGAGCGAACAGG
rnacentral:rRNA from 1 species